CGACAGCCUCAGAAACCAGGCCCCUGCAACUGUUUAUUAAAAACAUAGCACUCUGCAAACACGAAAGUGGACGUAUAGGGUGUGAUGCCUGCCCGGUGCUGGAAGGUUAAUUGAUGGGGUUAGCGUAAGCGAAGCUCUUGAUCGAAGCCCCAGUAAACGGCGGCCGUAACAAUAACGGUCCUAAGGUAGCGAAAUUCCUUGUCGGGUAAGUUCCGACCUGCACGAAUGGCAUAAUGAUGGGGGCGCUGUCUCCAGCAGAGACUCAGUGAAAUCGAAUUCGCCGUGAAGAUGCGGUGUACCCGCGGCUAGACGGAAAGACCCCGUGAACCUUUACUGCAGCUUGACAUUGAACUUUGAUCUUACUUGUGUAGGAUAGGUGGGAGGCUUUGAAGUCGCGACGCUAGUUGCGAUGGAGCCGUCCUUGAAAUACCACCCUGGUAAUAUUGAGGUUCUAACUCUGUCCCGUUAUCCGGGACGAGGACCAUGUCUGGUGGGUAGUUUGACUGGGGCGGUCUCCUCCUAAAGAGUAACGGAGGAGUACGAAGGUGCGCUCAGCGUGGUCGGAAAUCACGCGUAGAGUAUAAAGGCAAAAGCGCGCUUAACUGCGAGACCCACAAGUCGAGCAGGUACGAAAGUAGGUCUUAGUGAUCCGGUGGUUCUGUAUGGAAGGGCCAUCGCUCAACGGAUAAAAGGUACUCUGGGGAUAACAGGCUGAUACCGCCCAAGAGUUCAUAUCGACGGCGGUGUUUGGCACCUCGAUGUCGGCUCAUCUCAUCCUGGGGCUGAAGCAGGUCCCAAGGGUAUGGCUGUUCGCCAUUUAAAGAGGUACGCGAGCUGGGUUUAGAACGUCGUGAGACAGUUCGGUCCCUAUCUACCGUGGGCGUUGGAAAUUUGAGAGGAUCUGCUCCUAGUACGAGAGGACCAGAGUGGACGAACCUCUGGUGUACCGGUUGUCACGCCAGUGGCAUCGCCGGGUAGCUAUGUUCGGAAGGGAUAACCGCUGAAAGCAUCUAAGCGGGAAGCCUACCUCAAGAUAAGAUUUCCCCGAGACUUUAUGUCUCCUAAAGAGCCGUUGAAGACUACGACGUUGAUAGGUUGGAUGUGGAAGCAUAGUGAUAUGUGAAGCUGACCAAUACUAAUUGCUCGUGAG
rnacentral:rRNA from 1 species